ACAGUGGGUAAGAGAAGAAAACAUGGAGAAUUAUUUUACAGCUGUGAUGUUGUCAAUUGUACAAUAUCUACUCCAAUUUCCUCCCAUCUUUGAGAUGACUGAUAAGAAUGCCUUAUGUGUCACACAGGAUCAUAACACAAACUUUCUUCUCUUUCCUGAUGCCCCUCUCAAAUUUACUCAGUAGGGGGAACUUCACCUUCUCCUAUGUAAAUGGGCUUUUCUGCUUAUGUUUAAAUAAUAGGCCAUUGUGUGGCAAACAACUCUAUCAAAAGUUGUGUCUUUUACCCUAGCUCCUGGGAAAUAACCACUAAAGUCUUGAAAUGUCUUGAGUGAUUGGAGGACCUUUAUUUUUCACGCCUGAUGCCUUAUGCUGAUGAGAUGACUCAGCAGGGGAUGGCCAGGCCAGAAAGACCAAAACUGUAUCCUGAGGUUUGAGUUUCUGAGCCAGGUGAUGUCAUCCUCCAGCUUGGCCGGCCUCUUUCUGGGAGCCUCUGGUGUGAAAGAGAGCAGAUUUAUUAAAAAUCAUCAACUUCAAAUUAUUUGGAUGGAAACAUUGCCAAAUCAUAGAGAUGUUUGCUACCACCCGCACACCAAGCAGCUGGGUAACUAGAAGUGCAGGAUCAGCUUAUUCACCUCCGAAAGCCUGCAUGCAACCACUGAGGCCGCCUCUAUUUUUUACAUAGUUCUACUUGGUGUAUGUAACCCCACAGAGAAACCUGGAAGAAUGCAUGAAACCUAGUAAGGCAACCAGCACAUGCAACAGAAUGAACCGUUUCUUUCCAUCUGAAUGCCUAAAUGUGGACUCUGAUCCUUUCUACCAAGUCCUAAGUUUGGGAAAAGAGGACAAGGACAGGGGCUCUGUCCCAUAUCAUAAUGUGCUUGUGAAUGGCUAAAAUUACAAUGCUGAGAUAAGUGUGUGUAAUAAAAUAAUUGCACCCCGAAUUGAAGAAUGUUUCACUGUUUAUUUU
rnacentral:lncRNA from 1 species